CACAAGCGGUGGAGUAUGUGGUUUAAUUCGAUGCAACGCGAAGAACCUUACCUGGUCUUGACAUCCCGGAGACCCUUAGGAAACUAGGGGUGCUUCCAUCUGGAAGAAUCUGGAGACAGGUGCUGCAUGGCUGUCGUCAGCUCGUGUCGUGAGAUGUUGGGUUAAGUCCCGCAACGAGCGCAACCCUUGCCUUUAGUUGCCAGCAGUUCGGCUGGGCACUCUAAAGGGACUGCCGGUGUUAAACCGGAGGAAGGUGGGGAUGACGUCAAGUCCUCAUGGCCUUUAUGACCAGGGCUACACACGUACUACAAUGGCCGAUACAAAGGGCAGUGACACUGCGAGGUGAAGCCAAUCCCGUAAAAUCGGUCUCAGUCCGGAUUGGAGUCUGCAACUCGACUCCAUGAAGUUGGAAUCGCUAGUAAUCGUGGAUCAGCAUGCCACGGUGAAUACGUUCCCGGGCCUU
rnacentral:rRNA from 1 species